rnacentral:rRNA from 1 species
UACAGAGGGGGCAAGCGUUGUUCGGAAUUACUGGGCGUAAAGGGCGCGUAGGUGGCCUUCUAAGUUGAACGUGAAAUCCCUGGGCUCAACCCAGGAACUGCGUCCGAAACUGGCAGGCUCCGAAUCCGGGAGAGGGAUGUGGAAUUCCAGGUGUAGCGGUGGAAUGCGCAGAUAUCAGGAGGAACACCAAUAGCGAAGGCAGCUCGCUGGGACGUUACUGACACUGGAGGCGCGAAAGCGUGGGGAGCGAACAGG